rnacentral:rRNA from 1 species
UACGAAGGGGGGCUAGCGUUGCUCGGAAUUACUGGGCGUAAAGGGAGCGUAGGCGAAUAGUUAAGUUGGGGGGUGAAAGCCCGGGGCUCAACCUCGGAAUUGCCUUCAAUACUGGCUAUCUAGAGUAUGGGAGAGGUGUGUGGAACUCCGAGUGUAGAGGUGAAAAUUCGUAGAUAUUCGGAAGAACACCAGUGGCGAAGGCGACACACUGGCCCAUUACUGACGCUGAGUCUCGAAAGCGUGGGGAGCAAACAGG